GGCAAACUGGGACCCCCUGUCCUGGCUCAGUUGGUCACAGCCUUCAGCUCUCCAUACCCCACAGCGGCCCCUGGCUCUGCAGGUCUCCUCCACGCCAUCCCCCUUCACCAGAGCACCAAUGAGUGUGAGGGAGGGAGGGGAGAAAAAGUGCUGUGCUGUGUGGAUUAUUGUGUGUUUGUCAUCUGGAGUGGUAUAAGCUGUAGGUACAGCAUCUCCCAGCGGUGAUUUAUGGCCGCUGUCAGGCGGCACCAGCGCUUUGUCUGCUGUAGCGUGGAGGAUGAAUGCCGCGCUGUCAUCGCGGGCAGGGCAGUCUUUCUCUCGCUCUGCUCCGUGUGCUCGCUCCCCAUUUCACGCCGCUGAACAUAAACAAUCUUUUGUAAACCUGACAGUCACACUUGCUUCUUUGGAAACAUAAUGCAGGAAUGGAUGACUCGGCUUUCAUCGCCCCAUUUCCUGGGCUGCGCAGGAGGGAAGAUGGCAAAGGGAAGACCUCAGAGCGAUCCUCAAAAAGCAGAAAGCCAGGAGCAGCAUUGCACUGGGAUCAAAGCCUGCUUCAUGAUGAGUUCCCACAUGCCUAGAGAUGAAAUUUGCCAUGGGAACACUGAGCAGCGUGGCAGAUGGUUUGCUUUGGAAGUUUCUCCGUGUGAGUCCUGAACAUCUGCUGGGGAGGAGCAGCUUGGUAUAAAUGCAGAGAGAUUGCUGGAAGGGCUCAUUUGGGGAGGUGCACAGCUCCCAGUGCCAGCUGCAGACUAGUGGCAAGGUCCUUGUCCCCAUCUUGUCCUUGUCCCUUUCCCUGUUCCUGUCCCUGUCCUUGUCCUUGUUUCAUGGACCAGGGGCACAUAGGCUCCCCAUGACCUGGCUCUAGAAUAUAUAUAUAUAUACAUAAUAUAUAUAUACAUAUAUAUAUUUGCAUAAAUCUGAAUGGCAAACGAGAUGCUGUCUCCCAGCUUGUCCUUUCCCAUGGGUUUUAAAGCAAUUAUUUAUAUGUGUGAGCACAAUCAGAUGGGUGUUCCAGUGCCAGCACCACCUCUGUGCCUUUAGCUGAGAGCGGACGGAGCUGUGGCAUGCAGGAAGCAAAGAAAAUGUGAGUAACCGGGUCAUGGGGAUGGGAAGAGGAAUCUUUCCUGGCAACGUGGGGGAUGCAGGGCUGCCAUGACCCCGUGGUGAGUGCUGGGUGUGUGCCGGGAGCUCCUGCAGCCACAGCUCUGUGCCAGCACCAACAGCCCAUCACUCACCUC
rnacentral:lncRNA from 1 species